UCACGUUUCAAAGGAGCCCAUGGUAGUGGCUGCAAUGGCGUAUAAUUAAAAAUACGCCAUCAGCUGUAGAAGGCGUUUAGUCCAAAACCCGCAUCCAGCUGACCCGUUCCUCCUGCGGUCCCGCCCAACCCAAACCUCUCACCAUGCUCACCGCCGCUCCGCUCCUCUCGCCGGCGCCGGCGCCGCCGCCGCCGCCGCCGCGGUGCCACGUGGCGAUCCCCCUCCGCUGCCACGCUCCAACCCAGCAGGUUGCCGCCGCCGCCGCGGAUCGUGGCCUCCUCCUCCGCGGCGCCGGGUCCCCCGUGGUGAAGCGCGCCCCCGGCGGCUGGCUCCUCUGGUACCAGUGCGGCGCGCGCGUCGCGCUCGCCGCGUCCACCGACGGCCUGCGCUGGGGCCCACCCGUGGAGCCCGACCCCCUCGUGGCCUCCACCGACUGGUGGGCGUUCGACACCGCGGCGGUCCGCCCCUCCGACGUGCUCCUCUUCUCCGGCCCCGACGCCUCCGCCCGCAGCGGCUUCCCGUCCUCCGCCGUGUACUGGCUGUACUACUCCGGCUCCACCGACGAGCGGUUCGGCUCCCCGUUCCCCGCCGCCGCCGCCGCCGCCGCCGCGGAGGACGUCCCAGCGCUGCCGGGGCUCGCCAUCAGCCAGGACGGCCGCCACUGGGCCCGCAUUGAGGGGGACCACCACACCGGCGCGCUGCUCGGAGUCGGGGAGGAGGAGGAGGGUGGCGAGCCCCGCCGAGGGUGGGAGGCGCGCUGCGUGGCGGCUCCCAAGGUGGUGCUCCACGCCGAGGGGGACCUGCGGAUGUACUACCACUCGUUCGACGAAAUGUCUCAAAGGCACGCGAUUGGGUUGGCAAGGUCCAAGGAUGGCGUCCGGUGGAGGAAGGCGGGCAAGGUGCUCGAGGGCGGCAAGGCUGGGUCGUUCGACGAAGGCGGGGUGCGGCACGGGCAUGUCGUCCGGGACCGUGCAGCUGGGCGCUAUGUCAUGGUGUAUGAGGGUGUUGAUGCCAAUGGACGGGUGAGCAUUGGGAUGGCUGUGUCGGAGGACGGGCUAAAGGGGUGGAGGCGGUCCAGUGAGUUGCCAAUUCUGCGCCCAUCAGACGACGAUGAGGGGUGGGAUAGCACUGUGGUUGGAUCCCCGUGUUUGGUGCAGAUGGAUGGAGCAUAUGAUUGGAGGAUGUAUUACACGGGUGUUGGGAGGGAUGGUGAGGCUGCGAUCGGAAUGGCAUAUUCAGAGGGGCACGGUCUUCAGAAAUUUGAGAAGUGGGAUGCUGUCCUCAUGUAAGAAUGCAAUAGCUAUGGCAAAUUGGCAAUUGUACCAUUUACAUGGACAUGGUAGAUCCAAUAUUGUUGUUAGUCAUGUACAAUCUUAAUCCAGUACAAGGGGUUGAUCUGUUUUGAAAAAAAAAGCCAUGUGCAGAGGGAAGAACCUGUACUACAGGCUUGAAUAAUGCAAUGCUGCAUAGUUAUUUCAUUGGGGGCCAUGGUUGUCCUUACUUCCUUCAUUGUGAGGUAAGUGUUUAUCCAUGAAUUUCCUUGUAUCUUAUGUGCAUCUGUCUUUAGGAUGAAAACACCUUUCUCCUAUUCUCUUCCUAAGAGUAACAGUACAAUUUUCUUUCUAGUGUUGUAUUUGUUGAUUAUAUCAUUUCCCGGACAUUUUGAAUCCAAACAUCUUUUUAUCCAUCUGUAUUGUAUCCUGUCCACUAACUUUUUUUUUUGACAUUCACAAAAUGCAAGUGCAGUUUUUUUAUGGAAAAGCUGCAAAUGAAUCUCCUUAUUCCUGUGAUUUUAUCUAAAACAUUCCUAUAUGUUCCAUAUCCACCUUUCUAUAACUUGAGUAUUUUGAUUAAUGCACCUGAAUAUAUGCCAGUACCCAUGAGUAUUGUUACUGCUGCUUUGAAAUAUGAACAAUUGUUCAUCCUGUUUUCAUCUGUCAUGUUUCCAGUGGCUAUUUGCCAGUAAUGAAUACGAUCCUGAGUGAGAAACUACUCGAAAUUCAGUAUUAUUUUCAAUAGUGGGGUUUUUAGGCACUCUAAGAUGUCACUGACUUUUCUUAACUGUUCAAUUAAUAUAUUCAUUGCUUUUAUCCUUAUGAAGGAAUGGAAGACUAAAGGGCUUGUAUUGGAUCAACUUAAAUUUCAGUUUUGGAGUAAUGCAAUUUUCAACCUUCUUUUCGUAACAAACAUAUGGUAAAAGGACUCGAAGAGGGUUAAAACUUGAUAAGAUAAAAGGACUCGAAGAGGGUUAAAACUUGACUUUACAGC